ensembl:miRNA gga-mir-6614 gga-mir-6614
CCCCGGCAAACGUGAUUCGUGGCCGCGCACGGCGCGUGUUCUGUUCCAUGGCAUAGGAGCAUCUGCUACAGGACAGCGAGAAGGCGGCUGCGGGUUUCUGUUCUCACACU